rnacentral:rRNA from 1 species
GUCCACGCCCUAAACGAUGUCAACUAGGUGUUGGGGAAGCGAUUUCUCAGUACCGUAGCUAACGCGUGAAGUUGACCGCCUGGGGAGUACGGCCGCAAGGUUAAACUCAAAGGAAUUGACGGGGACCCGCACAAGCGGUGGAUGAUGUGGAUUAAUUCGAUGCAACGCGAACAACCUUACCUACCCUUGACAUGUCCGGAAGCCUGCUGAAAGGUGGGUGUGCCCGAAAGGGAACUGGAACACAGGUGCUGCAUGGCUGUCGU